rnacentral:rRNA from 1 species
CCUACGGGCGGCUGCAGUGGGGAAUAUUGCACAAUGGGCGCAAGCCUGAUGCAGCCAUGCCGUGUGUGUGAAGAAGGCCUUCGGGUUGUAAAGCACUUUCAGCGGGGAGGAAGGCGUUAAGGUUAAUAACCUUGGCGAUUGACGUUACCCGCAGAAGAAGCACCGGCUAACUCCGUGCCAGCAGCCGCGGUAAUACGGAGGGUGCAAGCGUUAAUCGGAAUUACUGGGCGUAAAGCGCACGCAGGCGGUCUGUCAAGUCGGAUGUGAAAUCCCCGGGCUCAACCUGGGAACUGCAUUCGAAACUGGCAGGCUAGAGUCUUGUAGAGGGGGGUAGAAUUCCAGGUGUAGCGGUGAAAUGCGUAGAGAUCUGGAGGAAUACCGGUGGCGAAGGCGGCCCCCUGGACAAAGACUGACGCUCAGGUGCGAAAGCGUGGGGAGCAAACAGGAUUAGAUACCCCAGUAGUC